GCGAAGUGCGGGGCAGCAGCAGGUGUAAUACGGAGGGGGGUGGCGUUGGCCGGAAGUAGUGUGCGUAAAGGUGACGUAGGCGGCUUGGUAAGGCAGGGGUGAAAGCCCGGGGCGUAACCUCAGACCGGCCUUUGAAACUGGGAAGCUUGAGUUCGGGAGAGGGGAGUGGAACUCCGAGUGUAGAAGUGAAAUUCGUAGAUAUCGGGAGGAACACCAGUGGCGAAGGCGGCUAACUGGGCCGAUACUGACGCUGAGGUGCGAAAGCUGGGGGAGCAAACAGGAUUAGAUACCCCGGUAGUC
rnacentral:rRNA from 1 species